rnacentral:rRNA from 1 species
UACGGGGGGGGCAAGCGUUGUUCGGAAUUACUGGGCGUAAAGGGCUUGUAGGUGGCCAACUAAGUCAGACGUGAAAUCCCUCGGCUUAACCGGGGAACUGCGUCUGAUACUGGAUGGCUCGAGUUUGGGAGAGGGAUGCGGAAUUCCAGGUGUAGCGGUGAAAUUCGUAGAUAUCGGGAGGAACACCAGUGGCGAAGGCGGCGAUCUGGGAAGAUACUGACGCUGAGGUGCGAAAGCGUGGGGAGCAAACAGG